rnacentral:vault_RNA from 1 species
GGACUGGCUCUAUCUCAGGAGUUCCUUCCAUAAAGCAUCAACUUUCAAUUUCCCCCGCAGGGGUGGUUUGAGACCUGAGGGCACUCUCUAGUUCUUAG